rnacentral:rRNA from 1 species
GUGCCUAAUACAUGCAAGUCGAACGCUUCUUUCCUCCCGAGUGCUUGCACUCAAUUGGAAAGAGGAGUGGCGGACGGGUGAGUAACACGUGGGUAACCUACCCAUCAGAGGGGGAUAACACUUGGAAACAGGUGCUAAUACCGCAUAACAGUUUAUGCCGCAUGGCAUAAGAGUGAAAGGCGCUUUCGGGUGUCGCUGAUGGAUGGACCCGCGGUGCAUUAGCUAGUUGGUGAGGUAACGGCUCACCAAGGCCACGAUGCAUAGCCGACCUGAGAGGGUGAUCGGCCACACUGGGACUGAGACACGGCCCAGACUCCUACGGGAGGCAGCAGUAGGGAAUCUUCGGCAAUGGACGAAAGUCUGACCGAGCAACGCCGCGUGAGUGAAGAAGGUUUUCGGAUCGUAAAACUCUGUUGUUAGAGAAGAACAAGGACGUUAGUAACUGAACGUCCCCUGACGGUAUCUAACCAGAAAGCCACGGCUAACUACGUGCCAGCAGCCGCGGUAAUACGUAGGUGGCAAGCGUUGUCCGGAUUUAUUGGGCGUAAAGCGAGCGCAGGCGGUUUCUUAAGUCUGAUGUGAAAGCCCCCGGCUCAACCGGGGAGGGUC